CACGUAGGGGGCAAGCGUUGUCCGGAUUUAUUGGGCGUAAAGAGCUCGUAGGCGGUUCGAUAAGUCGGGUGUGAAACCUCCAGGCUCAACCUGGAGACGCCACCCGAUACUGUCGUGACUAGAGUCCAGUAGGGGAGCGUGUAAUUCCUGGUGUAGCGGUGAAAUGCGCAGAUAUCAGGAGGAACACCAGCGGCGAAGGCGGCGCUCUGGGCUGGCACUGACGCUGAGGAGCGAAAGCGUGGGGAGCGAACAGG
rnacentral:rRNA from 1 species